GCCUCCCGGGUUCACGCCAUUCUCCUGCCUCAGCGUCCUGAGUAGCUGGGACCACAGGUGCCCACCACCACCUCUGCUCAAUGCGAAGGAAUACAUUCAUGCCAUUGUGCAACCCUCACCACCGCCCAUCUCCAGAACUCUCUUCAUCCUGCAAAACCGAAACUCGGCCCCGGGUGCCCAUCCCCCUCCCCGCCCUGGCAUCCACCCUCUACUUUCUGUCUCUCUGAUCUUGACUGGAAGUAGGUAUGUACUUAGUCCGCAUUUUAAAGUGCAGAGCCUGGGACCCAGUGAGACGAAGUCAUGUGCCUGUGGUCACUUGAUAGAAAAUGGCAAAGCCGGGCAUCUCACCCGAGGUCUGUGUCCACAGCCCCUGCCUUGGUGGCCACUAUACUGUGGCUUCUUUCAAGUGAGUGCUGAGGAGGAAAGGGGAUUACGCUGCACAACCUCAGUGGUGAGAUGAGAUGAACGGGUGGAAACUAAACGUAAGGAAUGUAAGGGAUGGGUGAAAAGAUGCCAGGGAGCCUCCUGGAAGGGCAGCAAGUUCCCAGACAUUCGAAGAAUCAAGGUCCUGAAAGGAUGACCCAGCAGGGACAGGGCAGAGGGGACCCUGCCACAGCUGAGCGAUGGCCUAGAUGCUCGUUCUGGGUGCUGUCCCUUCCGGGACUCUAGCGAAACUGUUUUCCUCUCUAUUCAGAGUCUGCCAUUCAUUGGACUAUAAUGCCCCAUUUCAUCUGAUUGAUGACCCAAAUAGCUUCAAGUAGCUCUCCGCGGGUGGCCAGCCGCCCUGGAGGGUGUCCAGUUACAGGAGCUGAGCACACUGGACGCCUUUUCUCUUCCACAGUGGGCAAUGCACGGUGGGUCCCCCCUCGUCAGGAUUAAUGAGAGCUUUGGUUGCAGGGCCCCCCCCACCCCCCGCCUGUUGCCACGUGACAGUCUCACAAGCUCACCCGGGAGGAGAGGAGAGAAGCCCAUCAGGUCACUGAAGUGGGCAGUAGAACCCAGGAGAGGAAGAAAGAAAGGAGAGAGGGGGAAGUGGAUGCAGAGACAGAGCCAUUGAAAGUGUUUUCCAACAAUGGACUUGGAUAGGCUUCCCCUGCCCCUGCAGCAGGGAGCUCGCUGUGCCUGCGCCGCUGCAGUACUGACGAAUUCAUCCCUGUCCAAGGAGAGUGAAGUGAAGGUCCGUGAGGCGAGACCUGCUGGCACUCAGGGUGCGUGGGGCCUGGACCCGUGUCCAAGUGCUCCCUCCUUACUGAGGAGCUGGGUUGCCAGGUGCAGCGGCAGUUUCUCUAAGCCGCGUUCAGAGCUGAGUUACUGGGUUCUGUGUGAGAAGGGAGCCCACGCCUGAGCCUGUGGGACAGGUCUCGGCUGGAGCAGGUGGUCUGUGCCCCUCCUCACCCCAUCUGUCCUGGCUUGCUCUCACCUCAGCUUCCUGGCCUUCCCAGGAAGUCCUUAGGGUCUCAUCCUCACCCUAAAGCAGGCCCCUCCACUUGAGGCGCCUUCACACUGAGAUGCCCGCUGAUCUUCCCAGGGCCCUCAUCUCCGUGGCUCUAAGCUGUUCACCUUCACCCUGGACCCCCAGGAGGUCAGUGGAUGAAGGACAAAGAGCAACAACUCUGCUGCCAGCACCAAAAAGCCCUCUGCUGACUCCCUCAAGUCCUCUUUUGCAGAUACCUACAAAGGUCCUUGAAAGAAAAAAGAACUAGAAUUAUGAACAAA